GCAGCCAACCGUGUGAAUUAAUGCGAACUGCAUACUGCUUUGAACAUCGACAUCUUUAACGCAUAUUGCGGCCACGGGUUAGCCUGUGGCCACGCCUGUCCGAGGGUC
rnacentral:rRNA from 1 species